rnacentral:rRNA from 1 species
GCGGUUUGAUCAUGGCUCAGAACGAACGCUGGCGGCAUGCCUAACACAUGCAAGUCGAACGCGUGUAGCAAUACACGAGUGGCGCACGGGUGAGUAACACGUGGGAACCUGCCCUGGAGUGGGGGAUAACCCGGCGAAAGCCGGGCUAAUACCGCAUACGACCUGAGGGUGAAAGAUUUAUCGCUCUAGGAGGGGCCCGCGUCGGAUUAGCUAGUUGGUGGGGUAAUGGCCUACCAAGGCGAUGAUCCGUAGCUGGUCUGAGAGGAUGAUCAGCCACACUGGGACUGAGACACGGCCCAGACUCCUACGGGAGGCAGCAGUGGGGAAUAUUGGACAAUGGGGGCAACCCUGAUCCAGCAAUGCCGCGUGAGUGAUGAAGGCCUUAGGGUCGUAAAGCUCUGUUGUUAGGGAAGAACAAGUACCGGAGUAACUGCCGGUACCUUGACGGUACCUAACCAGAAAGCCACGGCUAACUACGUGCCAGCAGCCGCGGAACCUAAAUAGC